GACGAACGCUGGCGGCGUGCCUAAUACAUGCAAGUUGAGCGAUGAAGAUUGGUGCUUGCACCAAUUUGAAGAGCAGCGAACGGGUGAGUAACGCGUGGGGAAUCUGCCUUUGAGCGGGGGACAACAUUUGGAAACGAAUGCUAAUACCGCAUAACAACUUUAAACAUAAGUUUUAAGUUUGAAAGAUGCAAUUGCAUCACUCAAAGAUGAUCCCGCGUUGUAUUAGCUAGUUGGUGAGGUAAAGGCUCACCAAGGCGAUGAUACAUAGCCGACCUGAGAGGGUGAUCGGCCACAUUGGGACUGAGACACGGCCCAAACUCCUACGGGAGGCAGCAGUAGGGAAUCUUCGGCCAUGGACGAAAGUCUGACCGAGCAACGCCGCGUGAGUGAAGAAGGUUUUCGGAUCGUAAAACUCUGUUGGUAGAGAAGAACGUUGGUGAGAGUGGAAAGCUCAUCAAGUGACGGUAACUACCCAGAAAGGGACGGCUAACUACGUG
rnacentral:rRNA from 1 species